AUACCGGAUAAUAUUUUGAACCGCAUGGUUCAAAAGUGAAAGACGGUCUUGCUGUCACUUAUAGAUGGAUCCGCGCUGCAUUAGCUAGUUGGUAAGGUAACGGCUUACCAAGGCAACGAUGCAUAGCCGACCUGAGAGGGUGAUCGGCCACACUGGAACUGAGACACGGUCCAGACUCCUACGGGAGGCAGCAGUAGGGAAUCUUCCGCAAUGGGCGAAAGCCUGACGGAGCAACGCCGCGUGAGUGAUGAAGGUCUUCGGAUCGUAAAACUCUGUUAUUAGGGAAGAACAUAUGUGUAAGUAACUGUGCACAUCUUGACGGUACCUAAUCAGAAAGCCACGGCUAACUACGUGCCAGCAGCCGCGGUAAUACGUAGGUGGCAAGCGUUAUCCGGAAUUAUUGGGCGUAAAGCGCGCGUAGGCGGUUUUUUAAGUCUGAUGUGAAAGCCCACGGCUCAACCGUGGAGGGUCAUUGGAAACUGGAAAACUUGAGUGCAGAAGAGGAAAGUGGAAUUCCAUGUGUAGCGGUGAAAUGCGCAGAGAUAUGGAGGAACACCAGUGGCGAAGGCGA
rnacentral:rRNA from 1 species